rnacentral:rRNA from 1 species
UACGUAGGGUGCGAGCGUUGUCCGGAAUUAUUGGGCGUAAAGAGCUCGUAGGCGGUCUGUUGCGUCCGCUGUGAAAACUCGGGGCUUAACCCCGAGCCUGCAGUGGAUACGGGCAGACUAGAGGUAGGUAGGGGAGAAUGGAAUUCCCGGUGUAGUGGUGAAAUGCGUAGAUAUCGGGAGGAACACCAGUGGCGAAGGCGACUAUCUGGGCUGCAACUGACGCUGAGGCGCGAAGGCUAGGGUAGCAAACAGG